rnacentral:rRNA from 1 species
UACGUAGGCAGCGAGCGUUGUUCGGAAUUACUGGGCGUAAAGAGUGUGUAGGCGGUGCUCUAAGUUCGGUGUGAAAUCUCCUGGCUUAACUGGGAGGGUGCGCCGGAAACUGGAAUGCUCGAACGUGGGAGAGGAAAGCGGAAUUCCUGGUGUAGCGGUGAAAUGCGCAGAUAUCAGGAGGAACACCGGUGGCGAAGGCGGUUCUCUGGGCAUUACCUGACGCUGAGGAGCGAAAGUGUGGGGAGCGAACAGG